GAGGCUGCCCAUCCUUCAGCACAUGUGAAUCUCUUCAAUGGGAACAUGAACACAAAGGACAAAGCUGCAAAACAUCAUUUAUUCUACUUGAUGCAGAAAUGCAUACAGCAUAAAAAAGCAAUAUCAGAUGGAGAAGAUUGCUGUUAUACUGAACAUCAGAACAGCCGCGAUUUGUCACGCAACACACAGACCGAAUGUCAGGGAACUGUUUCUACUCCCUGAAGACUAACAAAGAGAGAGAGUGAGGAGAAACUUCUUCCCACCAUUCAGAAAUGAUCUGCUUUCCGUGGUAAAGUGUGACAUCAUGAAUGCAAGACAAAGAGUGCACGUCAGCCAGACCUUCCACAGCCAGCUGCACCUUCCUUAUUUUAUGAUACACUCAUGUCUUACAACCACAUCCUGGAAUUUGUGCUUAAUAAGGAAGUUUAAGAACACUUUCUUCUCUUUAUUUGUGCUUGAGCCUUCUCUGUUACUGUCUUCAGUGCACUUGAGUGAUAUCGAUACAUUUAGAGGAAGUAGAUGUAGAUGUGUAAACUAUGGGAAUAAUUUGAUUAAGGAGCAAGAAUGUUGGUCUGAGAGACUAUAUGAACUAAACCUGCUCAUCUAAACUAUGUUUAACCAAAGUAUUUCUAAGGGCUUCUUCAGUAUCAAUCUAAUCCAUAUUAAAUGUUGAACUAUGUGGUGAAUUUAUAACACUGACCCCACACAUUUAUAUAAUGGGACUACCUGUUUUUAAAUGCGAGACAUCAUCCUAUUGUUCCAAAGACUCGUUCUCUGAACCUUAUUAACAUAUUAUCAUUUCAUAUUUUAGCUGUCAGGCCCAUGUAUGUCAUGUAAUCCACUUACACCACAUACAUACACCACAACUUACAAAUAUGGCCAAUGACUUUUGAUUAUACACACACCUGUUUCCCUUUAAAUCAAGUACACAUAAGAGACUCUCUUUGCUGCCAUCUCUGCAAACACUCAGUUUGUGCUUUACCCCUGACUUUACCAAGCUGUUUGUUAUCAAUUAUUAUUGUUCUGGCUUUUGAAUUGUGUGACGUUUUGGAUUUCUCUGCCUUUGCCCUUAUUAAAAGAGUUGA